AAAAAAAGACGGGCGAGAAACAGAGCACCCAAUUCCCCUCAUGUCUCCCAAAUCGCCGCCACCAACCGCCUCGUAUGCCUCCUCCGACCCACCUCGCCGUCGGCCCUCCCGCUCCCCACUCCCACAUCACAGCUCCGGAGGCUACCGGAUCCGCCGCAUCCACCAUCCACCCAUCCCUCUCCCGUCCCAUCCCUCUCUCUUCACGCGGCUUCUCGAUGCGCCACCUGCGUCGGCUAAUUCACGCGGCGUCCGGCGAAUCCCGCCACCGUAAAGCACAGCUCGAGGCCCCCUCGCAUCAUGGACCCCCCCAACCUCCCACACACACACAAUCAGGCUAGGUCCGGCGCUCGCAGCCACCAAAGACCACCGACUAGCCUCCCCCUAUGGCUAGGGUUUCGGGCGCCGGGCAUCGGCUCCGGCGCUGGUGGCCAUGUCGUUUUCUUUUCCACUUGCUUGCCCCUGCAGUCAUCUCUUGUUACCUAGUUCUGUUAUCGUUGAAGAGAUUGUUUGGAAAUUGCUGCACACAAACCUGCUUGCACGUCUUCGGGGCAGCGAUGACGGCGAUGUCUGCUCUUUGUCGCUUUCCCUCUUCCCACUGAAGUGGACACUGGUUUCAGUCCAUUGGCAACAAAAGAAUUUGUAUGACUGAGAUCGAGUUAUAUACAUUGUGAUAUAUGCAUCCGAUGACCUGGAUACAAGAUGCCAGUGACUUGCUGGAUUUCACAUUGCACGUGUGAUGUUUUGUGCAUCGAUACUCACAACACUACAAGAAUGCGACAGAUUGACUAUGGUUUGGUAAAAAUUAGGAUAGUCUAAAUGCAGUGAAUCCCAUUUUUCAUGCUGCAUCUUUUCUUUUGAACAGUUUCUGAAAGUAUUGGAGUGCCCAUGUUCUUAUCAGUCUUGUUUUCCUUUUCUCAAGAUUUAGGAUAAUUUGUUUAAGAUGGUUCGGCAAAAGUGCAACACUGCCUUUUAAUCUAUGGUUUAAAGCUUUGGACUGCUACCUCAGAAAUAUGUAUCGCCCAUAUUUGAACUCAUCCAAACUGUACAAUUUUUCUUGGAUGAUUGUACCAUUCGGUUUCCUCUUUUAAAGUAGUUUUGUUAUUUGUUGUGAAUAUGGGUGGGUGCGGCAAAGCGAGCCUUUAUGUUCUAGUAUGUAUACUCUCCAGUUCAUUCAUCCUGAUGCAUGUGUAUAACUAUCUAACUAACUCGGGGAUAAAUUCAUUGAGCCAGAUGUAAAGUUGUUAAGGUAGUAACUAGGACACAUUGAGCGGGAGGAGUAUAUCUGGCUCUUCUUUUAUUAAGUAGGAAUGGAACUUGAUUGAGCUUUACUUGUGUUGCACUGUUCUAUAGAUGCAUGAGACACCUGUAAGUCUGUAACCUUUCUCCCUUGGUUUUGCAGCUGCACGCACCAACUCGAUGCAGGGGGACGCCAUGGAGCAAGUCGAGUUCGUGGAACAAGUCAUGGACGAUGCCAUGGAAGAUGAAUGGGCAUGUCGAUAAGGCACUUGUGAAAACUAAAGAUUUGGUAGGGAGUCACAAAAACUGCACUACUCCCAGCAAUACAGAAAAAACAAAGAUGGCAUGGCCUUCAACCUUUAUUCAAAAGAUAUAUGGAUGAAUAUAUGGGUUUAGUGGCAAGUAUACUGCAAUUGAUGACGUAGCAUCGCUAGCAAGAAUGAACGGGUCCGCGUGAUAUGCCAUCACUGUCCUGUUAACACAGGUCUUCCUGUAAUCAUUAACCUUUACCUGACCAAGAGGGAUCCAUGUGCACCUGAAUAAUGCCACCUUAACUUUCAUAUAGUUAAGCUUCUAAAUA